GGAUACCCCACUAUGCCAAGGCCUAAAUAAGACCCCCGUCCGCCAGAAAAUUACGAGCGAAAGCUUAAAACUCAAAAGACUUGACGGUGUUCCAACCUACCUAGAGGAGCCUGUUCCAUAAUCGACAACCCACGAUUAACCCAACCUCCCCUUGUAACCCACAGCCUAUAUACCGCCGUCGCCAGCUUACCUUUUAAAAGCACCAAAGUAAGCCAAAUAGUCUACACUAAAAAGUCAGGUCAAGGUGUAGCUUAUGGGGAGGAGACAAUGGGCUACAUUUUCUAUAUUAGAAAAUCACGGACCAAUAUCUGAAACACUAUUAUAAAAGCGGAUUUAGAAGUAAAUCAAACAAGAAUAUUUUAUUUAAUUAAGCUCUGGAACAUGUACACACCGCCCGU
rnacentral:rRNA from 1 species